GUGGUGGAUUCUUAUCUUUGUGUCUGUGGGUGUUGCAGCAGUCUUGAUCAUCACUGUGUGUGUCAUCGUAUGGAAGAGAACUAAAGGGAACAAAACAAAGACGGACGACGAUGUGACUGAUCCUGAAGAAGGUGUUUCCUACGCCUCCAUCAGCUACACCAAGUAGACCAACAGUAAAGCCCAGGCUCACAUUCAACAUGGUGAUGGCGAGGAUGAAGGUGACACAGUGACCUACAGCACUGUGAAGCUUCCUUCCUCUUCUGCCGCAGCCUCGGCUGACCCCAGCCACCUCUACGCCACCGUCAGCAAACCAAACAAAUAAGAUGUCACUUGUUAAACGUUGAGCUUCUUUUAACAGUCACAUGACUGUUUGUAUCAUAGAUUUAGAAUUUUAAGACCAAAGCAAGCAGCGUUAUGAAUCGAUUGAUCCUGAUAGUUGAUCUGUGAAGACAUGUCGGCAUUGAGAGAGUUGAGGAGGCAGACAUGUUGAAUAAAUGUGUUCUUUAUACUGCGUCCCUGCACGACACAAUGAAGGUUUUGCAUUUAUUUUGUUACCAUUCAAGUGAAUGUUGCUUUUUUAGUUCAGUAAAUUGGACUGUGUUGUG